rfam:Euryarchaeota archaeon TMED97 47925, whole genome shotgun sequence.
GGGAGUAGGAGGGUCGCUGACAGUGUACGACACUGAGGAAAGUCCCCUCUCCAAGAUGCAGGUGGUUCGGUGCAAGCCGAAGGCCCGGGAGGGUCAGCUCUGCAACAGAAACGAACUAGGCCAGGCGUACAAUGAUCCUGAAAGGGUGAGGUUUCCUGAACUUAGCUGGAACGAGCAACUCCACCGGAGCAAGUCCAAGCAGGUCUGUAUGGCAUCAACAAGACCGGGUAGGAUGCAUAGAUGAAUGCGACCAGCCGUAAGGUGAACAGAAAGGGGCUUAUUCCCUACUCCC